rnacentral:miRNA from 1 species
CAUGUGUGUAGGAUUCCAAAUGAU